GUCAUAAAGCAGUACAGAUGCUCACAUACCCUAUAGUGUGAAGGGAUAAAAUAUGCACUUUGUAUGUGUAGCCUUGAUUUUUAGAGUGACAGUAUUCCCUGGAUGUUUAACUGUUUAAACUGUGGGUUCCCUCCCCCAAGCCAUUACGGGGAAGGUAGAAUAUCACCUCAACACCAAGUCAACCGUUUUCUUAGCGUAAGGUGUGUGUAUGUUUAUGUGAGAGAUCUUUGUGGUGUGCUUGGCCUCUUUAGCCCUGAUUAAACAGCUGUGGCGUGUUCCCCUUGGGCUGGGGGCAGGCGCAUUGACCCGGAUCGUGUCGGAAGUUCAGGAGUUGAGCUGGAUUUUAGUUGGGGCGUCAGGGGGACCCGCAGGGCGGCCAGUCUUCACUGAGGCCUAAUAACACAUAGCAGAUGUGCUCAGCAGAGUGGAGACAUGAAUGCAAAAAGGAUCCCUGGGAAAAUGGCAGAGGCAGGCCGGAGCACUCAGACACAAAAUCACAACCAGACCCGUCGCCAAGUGCAGAGAAAGAGCCUCCGUCCAGCCUAACCCUGCCACCCAGGGAAGCCAAUGCCCAGAGAGAGAAAGCUCUGCCCUGGGGCAACACACAAACAAGCUCACACACAGCGUCCACAUGGCCCACAGAGGAAGGUCAUGGCUUUGGCAGAUUAUGAAAUGUGAUGCGGCACUACCAUUCAGCAGUGUUGAAUUGUUUUUAUGUUUUUAAUAAAUGUUAUUUUGUUUUAAUAUAGCAGCUUGAAAAGUACAGUUUAGUGCAGUACACUAGACACCAUGUGAUGUAUUAUACCAUUUAGCAUAUCAAGUCUUGUUAAAAUGAUGAAUAAUAUAUGUAAUAUAUAACUGUCAUUUUCUCUGCCUUAAAGCAGCACUAGGUAGGAUUUUCUUGAUUUUUGAUCUUUUUAAAGUGAUAAAAAUUACAGCUUGAAACUCACUGCAGCGCUGCAUUGAGGUGUAAUAGGAGGAAUAGCGGUGCUCUCGUGCCGGAGCUCCUCUGAGCUCAAACCAGACUCUGUAAGUUUUCCGAGGCGGCCGCGACCAACGCUCACGAGAACUGCGCCCUGCUUUCCGACCUUUAGUUCUAACAGUUCUACAAGGACUACUGGUUAAUUUUUUACAAACUAACAUACAGACACUCUGGCAGAAGCUGGAAAGAGACCAAAUAUGUCUGUGAAAGCCAGAAAACUAGAAAGAGAAACUAAUCCGCCUGAAACAUUUAUUACGAUCUACAACUGUAGGGGGAGCCCACGAGCACAAAAACUCAAUCCUACCUAGUGGAGCUUUAAUAUUUGCUAUCUUGAUAAUUUGUUUUAUUGACAGCAGUCAUCCCAGACCACAGUUUGGUGAUCCCCACGAUUAAAUGCUGGUGUAUAUAAAAUUGAUCAAAUUUGCUGUUUGUCUCAGGUGUCUACAAUCCAUUUACAGGCAGAGGCAAUAAUUUACAACAUUCUUAGAAUCUGGAUGCAGCAAAUACUAAACUAUGCAAAAACCUGUGAUUAAGAUUACUAAACUAAAUAUAAGCUGAGGCACUGAGGCACUGACUCAAAUGUCUUGAUACUACCAAAUACCGAAAGGUCUA
rnacentral:lncRNA from 1 species